UACAGAGGUCUCAAGCGUUGUUCGGAUUUAUUGGGCGUAAAGCGUGCGUAGGCGGCGGGGUAAGUGAGGUGUGAAAUCCCCCGGCUCAACUGGGGAGGGUCACUCGAUACUGAUCGACUUGAAGGCAGGAGAGGGAAGCGGAAUUCCCGGUGUAGUGGUGAAAUGCGUAGAUAUCGGGAGGAACACCAGUGGCGAAGGCGGCUUCCUGGCCUGUUCUUGACGCUGAGGCGCGAAAGCGUGGGGAGCAAACAGG
rnacentral:rRNA from 1 species